GUCCACGCCGUAAACGAUGGGCACUAGGUGCUCCGGGGAGCGACCCUUGGAGUACCGGCGCUAACGCAUGAAGUGCCCCGCCUGGGGAGUACGGCCGCAAGGCUGAAACUCAAAGGAAUUGACGGGGCCCGCACAAGCGGUGGAGCAUGUGGUUUAAUUCGACGCAACGCGCAGAACCUUACCUAGGCUUGACAUGCACGGGAAAGGCUGCUGGAAACAGUGGCCCCUCUUCGGAGCCCGUGCACAGGUGCUGCAUGGCUGUCGU
rnacentral:rRNA from 1 species